CUCCUUUGACGUUAGCGGCGGACGGGUGAGUAACACGUGGGUAACCUACCUAUAAGACUGGGAUAACUUCGGGAAACCGGAGCUAAUACCGGAUAAUAUUUCGAACCGCAUGGUUCGAUAGUGAAAGGUUGUUUUGCUAUCACUUAUAGAUGGACCCGCGCCGUAUUAGCUAGUUGGUAAGGUAACGGCUUACCAAGGCGACGAUACGUAGCCGACCUGAGAGGGUGAUCGGCCACACUGGAACUGAGACGCGGUCCAGACUCCUACGGGAGGCAGCAGUC
rnacentral:rRNA from 1 species